ensembl:lncRNA
CUAGACCAUUUACUAUCACUUUCAAGCAGAGCAGUGUGGAAUACUUCGGAUAAGACAACCCAUAGCCACACUGUAAUCUGUCAUAAAACAUCUGCUGUCUUAAAUUUAUUAGUGCAGUAUAAAGCUCCUUUGUUUCUUGUUUUCAAGUCAACAGCUCCAGAGAUAGAAAGGGAGAAAACAUCAUAUCUGUGCCAGCCUUCUCUGAGCAUUUUCCAGUUCUUCAAGUCCUUUAGAAGAAGAGGAACCUGUUCAAGGAAAGAAAAAGUAAUGGCUGUCAAAGGCGAGGAGGGCAGUUGUGACACAGUCAGCAUCAAAAGAAACACAGAUGGCAGAAUAAUGGCUGAGGAGCAGCAGUCCUGAGGAGCACAGCUGUUACAAGGUGCCCUUGGAAACCUAGUUUGAAGACGUCCUUAGCAGCCCUCAUUUCCUGUGAAGCCAAUGCCAGAGGGAAAAAGGACAGUGAUCAGAAGGAGACCUAAGACAGCCUGCAAGAUCUUCAUACUUCCUUAGCAGAGGGGAAAAGAUUCUGGGAUGUCCUGGUUUCAGCUGGGAUAGAGUUAAUUUUCUUCCUGGUAGUUGGUGCAGUGCUGUGUUUUGGGCUCAGCCUGAGAAUAAUGUUAAUAACAUAGCAAUGUUUUAGUUGUUGCUAAGUAGCAUCAACCCUGAUGAAGGACUUUUCAGUGUCUCACACUCUGCCAGUGAGGAGGGGCACAAGAAGCCAGGAGGAGCAGAAAUAGGGCGCUUGACCUGAACUAGCCAAAGGACUAUUCCAUACUACAGAAGAUUAUGUUCAAUAUAUAAAAUGGUGGGGGUUGGCCAGGACGAGAAUAUUGCUCUGGGGUGGGCUUCGUAUCAGUCAGUGGGUGAUGAGCAAUUGUGUUGUGCAUCACCUGUGUUUGUUGUUUUGAUUUUUUUUCUUCUUUUAAUUUUAUGUCUCUCUUCUUGUUAGCUCCCUUUUCAUUACUAUUGUAUUGUACUUUAUUUUAAUUAUUAAACUGUUCUUAUCUCAACCCACAAGUUUUACUUUUUUUUCCCAAUUCUCCCCAUCCCACUGCAGUAAGGGGGCAAUGAGCGAGCAGCUUCCUGGUGCUUAGUUGCUGGCUGGGGUUAAACUCACUGUGAGAGGAGUAGAGAUCUGGCCUUUUGGUGGCAUUGCUGCCCUAGGAUGUCUGCAAACUGGUAGGUGGGUGCUGCUGGAAACAGAGAUGUGGAGUGACAUGUGAAGAUGAGCACAGACUUUUUUAGCAGCCCAGGAGAGCCGGUACCUGCCAUUAGCAGUGUGGGCUGGGGGCUACGCCAUACAACAGAAGGCCUGUGCUGUUGUUCAGCCCCACCUUGCAGCUGCAUCCACCCCAAAUUCAACAACUUUUCUAGACAAGCUAUUUACCUGUGAAUUGGCGUAUGCAACAGUAACAUUGAAGAGCUUUCCAGCAGUUCAAAACCACCUUUGUAAUUCUAAUUGAUUGGGUUCUUUCUUGAUCAGCUGAAAUUACAGUAGGCCAAGGGUGGUGAUAAUUUCACGAGUUGAUGACAGAGGCUGUUCUGUCAUCUGAAGUCCACUAGGGUAGCAAAUGUAGAUGUCCAUAUUUUAAGGUCAAAAGGGCUUAUUCUGAUCCAGCAUUGUCAUUGUUAUAUGAGCAAUGGGAAUCCGUGGAAUUAAUUCUCAAUAGAAGAUCAACAUAUAUGAUUAAACUAGGAUAUUUUUUGUUCAACUAUAUCAUUAAUUUUUUUCAGAGUCAGGGAAUUUGCCACUAAGUUGUGGUAAAAAUAGCUGAUUAUUCUAACUGAUUAAGAGUCAGGUCAGAUUUCAAACUACGUUUUAUCUAUUGGACCUCUUCAAACUUUGGCAACUAAACUGAAGAGUCUUUUAGAACCAAAGAAUCAUAGAAUAGUUAGGAUUGGAAAGGACCUUAAGAUCAUCGAGUUCCAACCCCCCUGCCAUGGGCAGGCACACCUCCCACUAAACCAUGCCAUCCAAGGCUACUUCCAACCAGGCCUUAAACACUGCCAGCGACGGAGCAUUCACAACUUCCCUGGGCAACCCAUUCCAGUGCCUCACCACCCUCACAGUAAAGAAUUUAUUCCUCAUAUCCAAUCUAAACUUCCCCUGUUUAAG